CGGCCGCGUCGACCGACGAUCGGUAGCUGGUCUGAGAGGACGAUCAGCCACACUGGGACUGAGACACGGCCCAGACUCCUACGGGAGGCAGCAGUGGGAAUUUUCCGCAAUGGGGAACCGUACGAUGCAGCGACGCCGCGUGAAGGAAGAAGGCCUCGGUUGUAACUUACUGUCGUAGGACGGAUAAUGACGGUACCGUUACUAAGAAAGACCAC
rnacentral:rRNA from 1 species